UUUUCAGAAAACUAGAUUUAAAACUGAACAUGGGUUUAAAUCUUCAUGUAGAGAAGGAGAGGAUCCCCUGGAUACUUCAAAGGUGCUGCUAGCUCCUGAACUCAUCAUCUAUGACAAUGCCUGCAAUCUUCAUUGAUACUGCUUAAAUCGUGAUCCACACUUUUUCAAAAAUACACAGUUCAAAGUUGAUGGAUUUCAUUGGGAUAAUCAUUUUGGUUGCAGUGAUAGCUAUGAAAUGAGAAGUUUUCCACAAUACAAAGACAUAAGCAGCCAAGUGGUAGAACAAUUUAAUAGCCAGAUAAAAAAAACUGAAGGAUACAGUGUCAUACAUGACAAGAAAUAACUUUUUUAACCAUAUAAAAUUAUUUGUAUGCGGAAAAAACAACAAUGCAUUGGAAAAAUAAAUUGGUUGUACUGUUUAGACUCUUUAUCAAUUUAUUAUUUAGUAUGUAAUGAACAAAAACACACAUCUAUUACUUUCAGGACUAUUUAUCAAUAUCAUUCAUCAUAAGAUUACAACAAUAUGGUUAAAUGUUGACUAUGUCAUCUUUAGUCUGUUUUUUUUUUAUAUCUUGAUAAAAUAAAUGCAAUAAUUUUUUAAGAUGGUAUCCAACACCUUCACUGAAAUUGAUUUGGCUGGUUUACUUUUCUUAAAAUUUUGACAAAGUAUUUACUUUGACCCUUUGACAAAAAUUUCAGAAUUUCAAACAAUUUUAACCAAAGAUUAUAUCAGACAAACUACACUGGUUUGACAAAACACUAAUUUUGAUCAUUGAGAAGCUUAAUAUUCUUUUACAACAUCACGUAAUUAAAAUGUUAAGCUGAUUUUACAGAGUUAUCUCCCUGUAGUGUUAGAUACCACCUUAAAGUCCCUGGUUUUUUAAUAAUCCUAAAAGGUAAAUCUCUCAAUGUGAUAAAAACCAAGAAUUUGAAAAGUAUAUAUUUAUAUUAUCUGUUGAAUAUUUUAUGUUCAAACUUGAAGUUAUGGGUGUUCAAUCUGUAGACUAAUCUGUAGACCAUUUAAGAUCUUACCUUAUUGAUAGAAUUUAAUUUGUACAUUUAAAUAUGUUAUGUCAAAAAUUCAGAAUCCAUGAUAGGCACAGGAACUGUCUCACAAGGAGGUAUCUUUGGACCACUGUAAUUUUUAACAUAUAUGAAUGAUAUGUCAAUCAAUAUUGAUUAAGACAUAAAUGAUUUUUUUUAUGUUGAUUAUUUAUUAACAUACUCAUAAAAAUGCAGACAUUAUUUCCAGAUAGUUGAUAAAAAGAUAUACACUCUUUAUUCUAGUAAAAACAGCAUUUCAAAAAAAAAAAUAGACAAAAUAUCAAUUUUCAUGUAAAAUGUAAUGAUCACCUUAUAAGAUUGUCAGAUUUUAUCAAAUAUUUAGGAGUUCUCAUAAUUAUUAUUUUUUAAUAUUGUGAACAAAUAGUUUCCAACAUCAAAAAAAUUACUGUGUUUCAAUAUAGAGUUUUUUCUAUAGAAUGCCAAAUAUUUCCAUACUAUAUCAAGGAUGACUCUGGCAUCGACUCCGAUACAAUGCUAUUUCGAUUAAUCUUGUUCUUCAUGGUAUAAUAGUGUGGGCUGAGGGAUAACAAGAAAAUUGCAAGUUGUAUAGAAUAAGUUGGUGAGAUACUUCCUUGGUCUGGGUCCAGGGUUUAGAAUUACAUGUGAUUUUUAGAUAAUGUUAAUAUGCUAUGUGUAAAAGAUUAAGUUACUCAACUUUGAUUAAAUUAUGUAUUUAAUACACAGUCUUUAUGUGAAAAUUUUUAUUUGAAUAAUCAUAAUAUUGGAAGUGCUGCACAUACUGAUUAUUCUAUACCAAAUAUUAAAAACUGUUCAAAAACAGCUUUGUCUAUGAUACUAUACAAGACUGGAACAAUCUAUCAUCCAACACUAAAAAAUAUCAAAUAGAUCUGCAUUUUAGACUACAGUUUAAGAACAAUUAAAGUCAACAAAUAUAUCACUUUUUAAUUUGCCCUUUUCAGUCAACCUUUGAAUAAAUUGUUAAACAUGUGA